AUUGAACGCUGGCGGCAGGCCUAACACAUGCAAGUCGAGCGGAUGAAGGGAGCUUGCUCCUGGAUUCAGCGGCGGACGGGUGAGUAAUGCCUAGGAAUCUGCCUGGUAGUGGGGGAUAACGUCCGGAAACGGGCGCUAAUACCGCAUACGUCCUGAGGGAGAAAGUGGGGGAUCUUCGGACCUCACGCUAUCAGCUGAGCCUAGGUCGGAUUAGCUAGUUGGUGGGGUAAAGGCUUACCAAGGCGACGAUCCGUAACUGGUCUGAGAGGAUGAUCAGUCACACUGGAACUGAGACACGGUCCAGACUCCUACGGGAGGCAGCAGUGGGGAAUAUUGGACAAUGGGCGAAAGCCUGAUCCAGCCAUGCCGCGUGAGUGAAGAAGGUCUUCGGAUUGUAAAGCACUUUAAGUUGGGAGGAAGGGCAGUAAGUUAAUAUCUUGCUGUUUUGACGGUACCAACAGAAUAAGCACCGGCUAACUUCGUA
rnacentral:rRNA from 1 species